AGUGAACGCUGGCGGUAUGCCUAACACAUGCAAGUCGAACGGCAACACAUUAAGAGCUUGCUCUUACGGGUGGCGAGUGGCGGACGGGUGAGGAAUACAUCGGAAUCUACUUUUUCGAGGAGGAGAACGCAGGGAAACAUACGCUAAUACCGCAGACGACCUACUGGUGAAAGCAGUGGAACGUCGUACCUUGGGCGAUUGAAUGAGCCGAUGUCGGAUUCGGUAGUUGGCGGGGUAAAGACCGACCAAGGCGACGAUCCCUAGCUGGCAUGGGAGGAUGAGGAGGCCGACUGGAACGGAUGGACGGUCCAGAGGCGUCCGGGAGGCAGCCGUGGCGACUACUGGAGGCAGGGGUGAAGAAUGAUCCAGCCAUGCCGCGUCGGUGAAGCAGGCCUUCGGGUUGUAAAGCCCUUUUUUUGGGAAAGAAAAGCACCAGCUGCAUACACCGAUGUUAUGACGGUACCUAAAGAAUAAGCACCGGCUAACUUCGUG
rnacentral:rRNA from 1 species